rnacentral:tRNA from 2 species
GCGCCAGUGGUGGAAUUGGUAGACACGCCAGAUUUAGGUUCUGGUGCCGAGAGGUGUGAAGGUUCAAGUCCUUCCUGGCGCA